GACGAGCGCUGGCGGCGUGCCUAAUACAUGCAAGUAGAACGCACAGUUUAUACCGUAGCUUGCUACACCAUAAACUGUGAGUUGCGAACGGGUGAGUAACGCGUAGGUAACCUGCCUGGUAGCGGGGGAUAACUAUUGGAAACGAUAGCUAAUACCGCAUAAUAUUGAUUAUUGCAUGAUAAUUGAUUGAAAGAUGCUAUUGCAUCACUACCAGAUGGACCUGCGUUGUAUUAGCUAGUAGGUGAGGUAACGGCUCACCUAGGCGACGAUACAUAGCCGACCGGAGAGGGUGAUCGGCCACACUGGGACUGAGACACGGCCCAGACUCCUACGGGAGGCAGCAGUAGGGAAUCUUCGGUAAUGGACGAAAGUCUGACCGAGCAACGCCGCGUGAGUGAAGAAGGUUUUCGGAUCGUAAAGCUCUGUUGUAAGAGAAGAACGGGUGUGAGAGUGGAAAGUUCACACUGUGACGGUAUCUUACCAGAAAGGGACGGCUAACUACGUG
rnacentral:rRNA from 1 species